rnacentral:rRNA from 1 species
CGAGCGGCAGCGGAAGUAGCUUGCUACUUUGCCGGCGAGCGGCGGACGGGUGAGUAAUGUCUGGGAAACUGCCUGAUGGAGGGGGAUAACUACUGGAAACGGUAGCUAAUACCGCAUGACCUCGAAAGAGAAAAGUGGGGGAUCUUCGGACCUCACGCCAUCGGAUGUGCCCAGAUGGGAUUAGCUAGUAGGUGAGGUAAUGGCUCACCUAGGCGACGAUCCCUAGCUGGUCUGAGAGGAUGACCAGCCACACUGGAACUGAGACACGGUCCAGACUCCUACGGGAGGCAGCAGUGGGGAAUAUUGCACAAUGGGCGCAAGCCUGAUGCAGCCAUGCCGCGUGUGUGAAGAAGGCCUUAGGGUUGUAAAGCACUUUCAGCGAGGAGGAAGGCAUCAUACUUAAUACGUGUGGUGAUUGACGUUACUCGCAGAAGAAGCACCGGCUAACUCCGUGCCAGCAGCCGCGGUAAUACGGAGGGUGCAAGCGUUAAUCGGAAUUACUGGGCGUAAAGCGCACGCAGGCGGUUUGUUAAGUCAGAUGUGAAAUCCCCGCGCUUAACGUGGGAACUGCAUUUGAAACUGGCAAGCUAGAGUCUUGUAGAGGGGGGUAGAAUUCCAGGUGUAGCGGUGAAAUGC